UCAGACUAAGUAACAUUUAAUAGCAAAAUAAAUGGGAAAUGAAAUAAGUAAAGAGCAUGUAAGUGAGCCAGAAGUAAAAGAAAGCUGCCUCUAUUUGUUCAUGGAAAAACAGCUAAUUACUUUGAAUUAAAAUGUGGUUGUUUAUGGGGUUUGGCUUCUGUGUUAUAAAAUCUGUGACCAAAUAUCAAUAUAAUCCAAAAUAAAUAAUUCACAUUUUCUGGAUGAGAAACAACAAUUUCCAUCCAGUGAUGUGGAAAUGAAGCUCAAAAUUUAAGCCAUUGGCAAGGUGUUGGUAACAGAUUUGAGUAAGAAAUUUUAUUCCUUUCAGUCUUUGCUGCCUAGAUAUAUGUAUAAUGUUCCCGUAUGUAGUGGAGUUGUAACUCCUUUGGAAGAAAUAAAAUUAUAUAAUUCCCAUUAAUACAGUAUUUUAAAUAAUUAGACCUCUGGUAGCUGAGGGAUGUUAAUAGGUAGCAUUUUUUUAGCAUGACAUUGAAUUAAGCAUUGGUCUGGGUGGUCUCUCAGGGAAAGGUGAAAUUGAUGGAUCCUUUCUCAUUCCCAAGUGGCUGGUGUGAGAGCAGGUGGUGUUGGGAUGCUGCGUGUAUUCAGCAGUCACGGUGCAAGUCUGAUCAAGGCAUGUAUUCCCAAACCGCUCGGCCUCUGUCUCUCCAGGGGAGGGGCCAGUGCUGGCCUCUAUGCUUUUCUGUUUUGUUUUGUUUUUAAGAAAGAAAGAAAAAACUAAUUAUCAACCUAUAGCAUAUGUCAUUCACUCAAAUCUCUGAAGGACAAAGGCCUAAGUGACAAAUGUUCCUGGAGAGAGGGUUGAGCUGUCACCUGUCUUUCUAAGGAUCAUCUGUGUUUGGAUAUAGCAUUGCAUCCCAUUAUCUUUUUUUUGUUUUUUGUUUUUUUUUUUUUGUUGUUGUUGUUGUUUUUGGUUUUUUUGGUUUGGUUUUUCGAGACAGGGUUUCUCUGUAUAGCCUUGGCUGUCCUGAAACUCACUUUGUAGACCAGGCUGGCCUCGAACUCAGAAAUCCACCUGCCUCUGCCUCCCGAGUGCUGGGAUUAAAGGCGUGCACCACCACGCCGGCCUGCAUCCCAUUAUCUUUAUCGUGUGUUUCAUCUAAAUAAGUACUUGGGGGCUGGAGAGAUGGCUCAGCUGUUAAGAGCACUGACUGCUCUUCCAGAGAUCUUGAGUUCAAUUCCCAGCAACCACAUGGUGGCUCACAACCAUCUGUAAUGAGAUCUGAUGCCCUCUUCUGGAGUAUCUGAAGACAGCUACAGUGUACUUACAUAUAAUAAUAAAUAAAUCUUAAAAAAAGAAGUACUUGGUGUCUCAAAUCAAAAAAGACUUGGACAAUUUCUAGAAACCGUUUUGGAUUUGAGCAGCAUCCUAGCAUUGAGAAUGACGAAGGGUUGUCUGUCUCAUUGCUCUUUUUUUGUUUGUUUAUUUUGUUUUUUCAAGACAUUGUUUCUCUGUAUAGUCCCUGACUGUCCUGGAACUCACUUUGUAGACCAGGCUGGCCUCGAACUCAGAAAUCCACCUGCCUCUGCCUCCGGAGUGCUGGGAUUAAAGGCGUGCACCACCACGCCCGGCUUGUCUCAUUGCUCUUAAAGCGGUCAGGGUUUGCAGAUUUACUUAGCUGUUGCUAAGAUUUCACCUAUAUUCCUUUGCUUUUGAUUAAACUCAUUACAUCCCAUUUUUUUUCCUUCCCUUGACUAAUUGAGCUUUGAUCCUUGCUCUGUCCUCUGGGACAGAAUUAGGCACAAUGAGAAGUUAAAGAGCAGUUAGGGGGCUGGUGAGAUGGCUCAGCAGGUAAGAGCACCUGACUGCUCUUCCAAAGGUCCAGAGUUCAAAUCCCAGCAACCACACAAUGGCUCACAACCAUCCAUAACAAGACCUGACUCCCUCUUCUGGUGUGUCUGAAGAUAGCUACAGUGUACUUAUAUAUAAUAAUAAAUAAAUCUUUAAAAAAAUAAUAAUGCAU
rnacentral:lncRNA from 1 species